UCUUUCUUUCUUUUUUUUUUUUUUUUUAAAUCAUGCAAGUUGAUUUAGCACAAUACACAAAAUCACGCAAUAACUGUCUAACCACAUAUAGUCUUAAUUUGCAUCUAGAAAUAACUUUUAUCUAAUGCCUUUCAUAAUGCACACCAAGAGUAUUUCAUUCAUCUCAAUAAAUCUGACAAUUUUUAAUCCAUCUGAUCUUAAUGUUAACCUUUGAAUCAUUCACUAUUUCUAUAUAUAUUUGCAGUUUGUUAUGCUUAUUAUGUUUGCAAAGUAUUGACAUCUUUACAUUCGUGAAACACUAUAAUUAAAAACAAUGUUAUAAUUGUUGUAAUUUAUUUUACAGAGUUAGUCACAGUAUACAAUUUAUUAAACUUAAAUUGGACAAUAGACCUUUCUUUUUUUGCUUCUUUAUGUUGCUGCUGAAAAGUCUGAGUCUCGCUGUAUCGCUCAGGCUGCACUGCAGUGUCUAUUCACAGGCGCGAUCCCACUACUGAUCGGCACGGGGGCUUUGACCUGCUCCGUCUCCGACCUGGGCCGGUUCACCCCUCCUUAGACGACCUGGUGGUCCCGGGCUCCCCCAGGAGCACCAUAUCGAUACCGAACUUAGCGCGGACACCCGAUCGACAUAGUCCACUGCAGCCCAGAACCCCUGAACUCAAGCGAUCCUCCAGCCUCAGCCUCCCAUUAACUUGGAUUACAGGCGCGCGCCACUGCACCCGGCGAGAGCUGCGAGAAUCAGCGCUGCUACUGAAUCUAGUGCGCUCACAGCGACCGCUAGUGUGACAUAAAAUCGUUUUGCAAUUGGUUGCUAUCAUGUGACUGGGUCUCGCUGUAUCGCUCAGGCUGCACUGCAGUGUCUAUUCACAGGCGCGAUCCCACUACUGAUCGGCACGGGGGCUUUGACCUGCUCCGUCUCCGACCUGGGCCGGUUCACCCCUCCUUAGACGACCUGGUGGUCCCGGGCUCCCCCAGGAGCACCAUAUCGAUACCGAACUUAGCGCGGACACCCGAUCGACAUAGUCCACUGCAGCCCAGAACCCCUGAGCUCAAGUGAUCCUCCAGCCUCAGCCUCCCAUUAACUUGGAUUACAGGCGCGCGCCACUGCACCCGGCGAGAGCUGUGAGAAUCAGCGCUGCUACUGAAUCUAGUGCUCUCACAGCGACCUCUAGUGUGACAUAAAAUCGUUUUGCAAUUGGUUGCUAUCAUGUGACUGGGUCUCGCUGUAUCGCUCAGGCUGCACUGCAGUGUCUAUUCACAGGCGCGAUCCCACUACUGAUCGGCACGGGGGCUUUGACCUGCUCCGUCUCCGACCUGGGCCGGUUCACCCCUCCUUAGACGACCUGGUGGUCCCGGGCUCCCCCAGGAGCACCAUAUCGAUACCGAACUUAGCGCGGACACCCGAUCGACAUAGUCCACUGCAGCCCAGAACCCCUGAACUCAAGCGAUCCUCCAGCCUCAGCCUCCCAUUAACUUGGAUUACAGGCGCGCGCCACUGCACCCGGCGAGAGCUGCGAGAAUCAGCGCUGCUACCGAAUCUAGUGCUCUCACAGCGACCUCUAGUGUGACAUAAAAUCGUUUUGCAAUUGGUUGCUAUCAUGUGACUGGGUCUCGCUGUAUCGCUCAGGCUGCACUGCAGUGUCUAUUCACAGGCGCGAUCCCACUACUGAUCGGCACGGGGGCUUUGACCUGCUCCGUCUCCGACCUGGGCCGGUUCACCCCUCCUUAGACGACCUGGUGGUCCCGGGCUCCCCCAGGAGCACCAUAUCGAUACCGAACUUAGCGCGGACACCCGAUCGACAUAGUCCACUGCAGCCCAGAACCCCUGAACUCAAGCGAUCCUCCAGCCUCAGCCUCUCAUUAACUUGGAUUACAGGCGCGCGCCACUGCACCCGGCGAGAGCUGCGAGAAUCAGCGCUGCUACUGAAUCUAGUGCUCUCACAGCGACCUCUAGUGUGACAUAAAAUCGUUUUGCAAUUGGUUGCUAUCAUGUGACUGGGUCUCGCUGUAUCGCUCAGGCUGCACUGCAGUGUCUAUUCACAGGCGCGAUCCCACUACUGAUCGGCACGGGGGUUUUGACCUGCUCCGUCUCCGACCUGGGCCGGUUCACCCCUCCUUAGACGACCUGGUGGUCCCGGGCUCCCCCAGGAGCACCAUAUUGAUACCGAACUCAGUGCGGACACCCGAUCAACAUAGUCCACUGCAGCCCAGAACCCCUGAGCUCAAGUGAUCCUCCAGCCUCAGCCUCCCAUUAACUUGGAUUACAGGCGCGCGCCACUGCACCCGGCGAGAGCUGUGAGAAUCAGCGCUGCUACUGAAUCUAGUGCGCUCACAGCGACCUCUAGUGUGACGUAAAAGGGUUUUGCAAUAUCUUUACUUUUGUUUACUUUUGUCUGUUUGUUGCUUAGGUUUAUUAAUAUUAACUGUAACCCCUGUUCUAUUCCUCUAUGCAUCAUGGAUACCUGUGCUCAUGUUUGUUGUUCUUCAAUAAAACAAACAAUAAACAGAUUUAACAUGGGUUUUCUUGUUCUAAAAGUUUUUUUUAAUACUAUACAGUCUAAAAGUUAAUAUAAAGGGUAAUUUGUUAUAGAUUUAGUAGAUUUUAAUUUGCUUUUUGGAAAAAAAGACAGAUGGUUUGUCACUGUAACACAAGAUAUGGUAUGAAUUAGUUUUUGUCAGGAUAUUUCUAAUUUGUAAAAUCAGUUGUUUAUUUUGAUAUGGGUGUGUGUAGGCUAACUUUUAAAACUUUUUUAAAAACACUUGUGAUCUAUAACAUGUUCUCUGGAUAUAUGUCAACAACUUUUUUUAUGAAAAAAAGACAUGAGAAUGAUUUUUGUUCUUUAAUUUUGCUGUAUCAUCAGUAAAUGUUAAAGUGUAUAAUAUGUGUUUGAGGUGAAGUGCUUUCAUGUAUGAAAUUGCAAUGUUUUCUCUCACAACAUUUAU